UGUAUGUGACAGCUGGUCAUGUUAUUAGCUAGUUUAUUAGCUACCUUUGUUAGUUAGCUUUAACAAAAGAUAAUGGAUUACAACUCAAGAUGUUCUACUCAGAAAGAUGUUUCUGAGAAAGAGCGAUUAAGAGGCUGUGGCAGCAGAAGAGAGAGUUGAAGGGGUUAAAUGAUGAGCAACAGCACCUGAUCGACUUAAAGGGCAAGCUAGAAGAGCUCACACGGACAUGUUCCCUACCAGGUAUCUGUGUCCAGUGUGACGAGUUACCAGGGCGUCACAGAUUUCCCUG